ACGAACGCUGGCGGCGUGCUUAACACAUGCAAGUCGAACGGUGAAGCGCCUUCCUUUUUGGUGGGUGUGGAUGAGUGGCGAACGGGUGAGUAACACGUGAGUAACCUGCCCCCUUCUUCUGGAUAACCGCAUGAAAGUGUGGCUAAUACGGGAUAUUCUGGGUCUGUCGCAUGAUGGGUCUGGGAAAGAUAUUGUUUCGGUGGGGGAUGGGCUCGCGGCCUAUCAGCUUGUUGGUGGGGUGAUGGCCUACCAAGGCGGUGACGGGUAGCCGGCCUGAGAGGGUGGACGGUCACACUGGGACUGAGACACGGCCCAGACUCCGACGGGAGGCAGCAGUGGGGAAUAUUGCACAAUGGGCGCAAGCCUGAUGCAGCGACGCCGCGUGAGGGAUGGAGGCCUUCGGGUUGUGAACCUCUUUCGCCAGUGAAGCAGGCCUGCCUCGUUUGUGGGUGGGUUGACGGUAGCUGGAGAAGAAGCGCCGGCUAACUACGUG
rnacentral:rRNA from 1 species